GUUGAAGAAGACGACAGUAUAUUGCCAUUUUCUGAUACUGAUAUUGUGGAUGUUGCAGAAGAUCCCACCGGGCGGGUGAAUUUACAUGACUCUUCUACUGUUUUUGAUAAAGAGUUGGAUGAAUUAUUAGGUGAAAUGAACCGAAUGUACAGUUCUGCAACACCAAG